rnacentral:rRNA from 1 species
AUUGAACGCUGGCGGCAGGCUUAACACAUGCAAGUCGAGCGGUAACAGAGAGAAGCUUGCUUCUCUGCUGACGAGCGGCGGACGGGUGAGUAAUGCCUAGGAAUCUGCCUAGUAGUGGGGGAUAACUUGCCGAAAGGUAAGCUAAUACCGCAUACGUCCUACGGGAGAAAGGAGGGGACCUUCGGGCCUUUCGCUAUUAGAUGAGCCUAGGUCGGAUUAGUUAGUUGGUGAGGUAAUGGCUCACCAAGACCGCGAUCCGUAACUGGUCUGAGAGGAUGAACAGUCACACUGGAACUGAGACCCGGUCCAGACUCCUGCGGGGGGCAGCAGUGGGGAAUAUUGGACAAUGGGGGGAACCCUGAUCCAGCCAUGCCGCGUGUGUGAAGAAGGUCUUAGGAUUGUAAAGCACUUUAAGUUGGGAGGAAGAGCAGUUAACUAAUAUUUGACUGUUUUGACGUUACCGACAGAAUAAGCACCGGCUAACUUCGUGCCAGCCGCCGCAGUAA